AACGAACGCUGGCGGCAUGCCUAACACAUGCAAGUCGAACGAGACCUUCGGGUCUAGUGGCGAACGGGUGCGUAACGCGUGGGAACCUGCCCUUAGGUUCGGAAUAACUCCCCGAAAGGGGUGCUAAUACCGGAUAAUGUCUUCGGACCAAAGAUUUAUCGCCUUUGGAUGGGCCCGCGUUGGAUUAGCUAGUUGGUAGGGUAAAAGCCUACCAAGGCGACGAUCCAUAGCUGGUCUGAGAGGAUGAUCAGCCACACUGGGACUGAGACACGGCCCAGACUCCUACGGGAGGCAGCAGUGGGGAAUAUUGGACAAUGGGCGAGAGCCUGAUCCAGCAAUGCCGCGUGAGUGAUGAAGGCCUUAGGGUUGUAAAGCUCUUUUACCCGGGAUGAUAAUGACAGUACCGGGAGAAUAAGCUCCGGCUAACUCCGUG
rnacentral:rRNA from 1 species